AGGACGAACGCUGGCGGCGUGCUUAACACAUGCAAGUCGAACGGUGAUCCAUGGUGCUUGCAUUGUGGUGAUCAGUGGCGAACGGGUGAGUAACACGUGAGGAACCUGCCCCAGACUCUGGAAUAACCCCGGGAACCGAGCUAAUACCGGAUAUGACACCAGACCGCAUGGUCAUGGUGUGGAAAGUUUUUCGGCUGGGAUGGCCUCGCGGCCUAUCAGCUUGUUGGUGAGGUAGUGGCUCACCAAGGCGACGACGGGUAGCCGGCCUGAGAGGGCGACCGGCCACGACUGGGACUGGAGACACGGCCCAGACUCCUACGGGAGCAGCAGUGGGAAUAUGCACAAUGGGCGAAAGCCUGAUGCAGCGACGCCGCGUGAGGAUGAAGCCUCGAUGUAACCUCUUCAGCAGGAAGAAGCGAAAGUGACGUACUGCAGAAGAAGCACCGCAACUACGUGCAGCAGCG
rnacentral:rRNA from 1 species